rnacentral:rRNA from 1 species
GAUGAACGCUGGCGGCGUGCCUAAUACAUGCAAGUCGAGCGAACAGACGAGGAGCUUGCUCCUCUGACGUUAGCGGCGGACGGGUGAGUAACACGUGGAUAACCUACCUAUAAGACUGGGAUAACUUCGGGAAACCGGAGCUAAUACCGGAUAAUAUAUUGAACCGCAUGGUUCAAUAGUGAAAGACGGUUUUGCUGUCACUUAUAGAUGGAUCCGCGCCGCAUUAGCUAGUUGGUAAGGUAACGGCUUACCAAGGCAACGAUGCGUAGCCGACCUGAGAGGGGGAUCGGCCACACUGGAACUGAGACACGGUCCAGACUCCUACGGGAGGCAGCAGUAGGGAAUCUUCCGAAAAGGGCGAAAGCCUGACGGAGCAACGCCGCGUGAGUGAUGAAGGUCUUCGGAUCGUAAAACUCUGUUAUUAGGGAAGAACAAAUGUGUAAGUAACUAUGCACGUCUUGACGGUACCUAAUCAGAAAGCCACGGCUAACUACGG